GGUAACUCCGGGCGAGUGGGCGCUGUAAUACGGAGGAGGCAAGCGUUAUCCGGAAUUGUUGGGCGGAAAGCGUCCGUAGGGGGCUAGUCAAGGCUGCGGUCAAAGACUGGGGCUUAACCCUGGAAAGGCCGUGGAAACUGACGAGCUAGAGUGCAGUAGGGGUAGAGGGAAUUCCCGGUGUAGCGGUGAAAUGCGUAGAGCUCGGGAAGAACAUCGGUGGCGAAAGCGCUCUACUGGACUGCAACUGACACUCAGGGACGAAAGCUAGGGGAGCGAAUGGGAUUAGAUACCCGAGUAGUC
rnacentral:rRNA from 1 species